AUUGAACGCUGGCGGCGGGCCUAACACAUGCAAGUCGAGCGGAUGAAGGGAGCUUGCUCCUGGAUUCAGCGGCGGACGGGUGAGUAAUGCCUAGGAAUCUGCCUGGUAGUGGGGGAUAACGUCCGGAAACGGGCGCUAAUACCGCAUACGUCCUGAGGGAGAAAGUGGGGGAUCUUCGGACCUCACGCUAUCAGAUGAGCCUAGGUCGGAUUAGCUAGUUGGCGGGGUAAAGGCCUACCAAGGCGACGAUCCGUAACUGGUCUGAGAGGAUGAUCAGUCACACUGGAACUGAGACACGGUCCAGACUCCUACGGGAGGCAGCAGUGGGGAAUAUUGGACAAUGGGCGAAAGCCUGAUCCAGCCAUGCCGCGUGUGUGAAGAAGGUCUUCGGAUUGUAAAGCACUUUAAGUUGGGAGGAAGGGCAGUAAGUUAAUACCUUGCUGUUUUGACGUUACCAACAGAAUAAGCACCGGCUAACUUCGUG
rnacentral:rRNA from 1 species